rnacentral:RNase_P_RNA from 1 species
CCGAAUCUUCAUUGAUUGCUCAGUUAGUUUGGCUAAUUGAGAGGAAAGUCCGGACGCCUUUUUUGACGAAAGUCAAAAAAACAAAAGUCGUUGAUAAUUUCAACCGAUCAAACAGUGAUGUUUGUUUAGGGAAAGCGCCACAGAGACAAUACUAGCCAUUGCUAAACAGUGGUGAAAGGUGAAAAGUGUGUUGAAGUCAUAACAACACUCGUUCGUUGGCAACAACGAAUUGUGGCAAGCCCGGCUUGGCGCAAGGACGAGCCCGUUUUUAAAACGGGAGUUCCGCUAGAGCUAUUUUGCAAAAAAUAGCCCAGAUCAAUAAUCAAAAAAAACAGAAUCCGGCUUAUUGAAGAUUCGGAUUU